GAUGAACGCUAACGGCAGGCUUAACACAUGCAAGUCGAGGGGUAUAGGUUUUCGGACCUAGAGACCGGCGCACGGGUGCGUAACGCGUAUGCAAUCUACCUUUCACAGAGGGAUAGCCCAGAGAAAUUUGGAUUAAUACCUCAUAGUAUAGUGGUUUCGCAUGAAACCACUAUUAAAGUUCCAACGGUGAAAGAUGAUCAUGCGUCCCAUUAGCUAGAUGGUAAGGUAACGGCUUACCAUGGCUACGAUGGGUAGAGGUCCUGAGAGGGAGAUCCCCCACACUGGUACUGAGACACGGACCAGACUCCUACGGGAGGCAGCAGUGAGGAAUAUUGGUCAAUGGACGAAAGUCCGAACCAGCCAUGCCGCGUGCAGGAUGACGGUCCUAUGGAUUGUAAACUGCUUUUGUACGAGAAGAAACAACAUUACGUGUAAUGUCUUGACGGUAUCGUAAGAAUAAGGAUCGGCUAACUCCGUGCCAGCAGCCGCAGUAAAAC
rnacentral:rRNA from 1 species